AAUUUCACUAAAAUUUAAAGAAUUACCAUUUGCACCACAAAAGCAAAAACACCCACCAAACCAUUAAUUCCGACAAAAGGCAACUAAAAUACUUAAUUCUUUGAUAUUUUAAAGCAUUAGUAAAACUCAAAACUUGAAAUUUUUCCGUUCAGAGUCCAAAUUCCCAUCAUAUAUUCAUUUUUAAGACCAAAUUUUGCAUCAAAAAUUAUUAAAACAAUAAUACAUUUACCGUCCUAACUAUCGAAAUUGAGGAAUUGAGAAUGUGUGGUAUGGCUCACCACUGUUCACGCGCAUACCAGAUUAUUCUUUUCAGAUCUCCAAUAUAUGCUGACGAAGAAGGGCGGUGUGACAAGGUGUUGCCGGUUUCGGAGA
rnacentral:misc_RNA from 1 species